UGAGCAAAGAUCUGGUGAUAAGUACCACACAGACUUUUUCUUGGGUGAUGGCUCAAAUCAGUCAAUUGACCAUUUUCUGAAACUGGGUAUCUAAUUAAUAAGGAAGUGUACAUGCUUUUGCAUGUGUGUUAAAGAUUGUCACAGAGUUAUAGUGUGUGUCAGUGUUUUGUAACAGGUUCCAAUCAAGAUUGUUGUAAGAUAACUUUGAAACUGAACUCGGAUUGUGGGACACUGUACAUGUGUCUACCAUAAUUAAUGGUUUCAUACAGCCUUUCAGCUUCUAGGUGCAUACCAACAUAAAACAGAUCAAGUGUACAAGCCUCUUGAACUGCACUCAGUCUAUACAGUCUGGCAUAAAUGUAGGAGUUUAGGUAGUUAGGAGCAUUAAUCAGAUCCUGGGGCUAAUAUCAUUCAUCAGGAAAUAGGUAACAAGGGUUGACUACUAAAGGUCCAUUGGGAAGGAGACCUUGGUGAAUUGGCAUGUAAGUAAUUGAUCAAAUUAUCUUGUGAUUUAGCUUUGGAUUGUUUUUUCUUUGCAGCUUGGAUAACCAACUGGCACAUGUGAGGCCAUAUUCUGAGGGACUCAAAAAUUUUAAACAAAGUCACCUUCCCAAGACCCGAGAUCGAGUAUAAGUGUUGUUUUCUAUUGUGGUUGUAUGAUUAGAUUCCAAAAACCUGAAUGGUUAUAUCAACCAACUUUCUAGCUGGUUCAAUACCAUUUUUGCCUUCUUAUAGCCUAUACUACUAGUUGCUGUUGUUAAGGUUAGUUAAUAAAACUUGAUAUAACUAAAUUAAACUCUCAAUUCCUUUUCUUUAGUUAGGCAAUUGAAAUUAAAAGAACCCUAAGAAAGAUGAUACAGAUAAUCAGUUAAAUAGUCGCUUAACUAAGGUUUGUUUUAUACCCUUUCUUUCUUACAGCAAGAAAGAGAAAAAUCACAGAUAGAGCACAGCAUGUUACUCUGUAAGAGCCAUCUUGAAUUGCUGCACAGCCACCCUCCCGCUCCCACACACAGACAACAACCUGGGCAGCUCCUUACUUUUAAAGCAAGGUGUUCGCCCCUAGCAGGGGGCUCCAUCUCAUAGUGUGUAACAUACCUGAGCUGCUGCACACAGGACAGGCUAAAAUGCCUAUUGUGUAUUCCAUGGCAGGUAAACUGAGAGAUUGUGAGCAGCAAGGAGCCUGACCAUAACACUGAAGGUAGGACAAGUUUGCAUUGGGAUCCAGAUUUUUCAACUUGAGCUCAUAUUUAU
rnacentral:lncRNA from 1 species